rnacentral:rRNA from 1 species
AUUGAACGCUGGCGGCAGGCCUAACACAUGCAAGUCGAGCGGAUGAAGGGAGCUUGCUCCUGGAUUCAGCGGCGGACGGGUGAGUAAUGCCUAGAAAUCUGCCUGGUAGUGGGGGAUAACGUCCGGAAACGGGCGCUAAUACCGCCUACGUCCUGAGGGAGAAAGUGGGGGAUCUUCGGACCUCACGCUAUCAGAUGAGCCUAGGUCGGAUUAGCUAGUUGGUGGGGUAAAGGCCUACCAAGGCGACGAUCCGUAAAUGGUCUGAGAGGAUGAUCAGUCACACUGGAACGGAGACACGGUCCAGACUCCUACGGGAGGCAGCAGUGGGGAAUAUUGGACAAUGGGCGAAAGCCUGAUCCAGCCAUGCCGCGUGUGUGAAGAAGGUCUUCGGAGUGUAAAGCACGUUAAGUUGGGAGGAAGGGCAGUAAGUUAAUACCUUGCUGUUUUGACGUUACCAACAGAAUAAGCACCGGCUAACUUCGUG